rnacentral:misc_RNA from 1 species
GUAGGUGAACCUGCGGAAGGAUCAUUAUUCUAUAACGUCGGGGGCCGGCUUGGUAUCGCGCAGUAUUGGCCUAGCCAGUAUGACCGCUUUACCUCCCCGCUCUGUCUGAAUAUACCCAUGUUUUUUGCGUACCUAUUGUUUCCUCGGCAGGCUUGCCUGCCAGUAGGACCUUUUAAACCCCUUUGUAAUUGCAAUCAGCGUCAGAAAAACAUAAUCGUUACAACUUUCAACAACGGAUCUCUUGGUUCUG